AUGAGGCAAAUAGAUUCUGUGUGCGUUCCUGAAUGCUUGGUUAUUCAUGAAGCCACCGGCAGUCUGCCUCUCUGCCCGCCCCGGACCUGGCAGGUGUCACGUACCACCCUCCUCCUGGCCCUGACUCAGCUCCUCCAUGCCCAACAUUGUGGUCCACGGUGCCCUUGGAAUCUCGGGGUGAGACCUGGCAGCGAACCCCGUGUGCUCUUACCGCAGCGGGGCUCCUCCGACCGUCGGUACAAGGGGCUUGUGUUUCUGAGAAGGGAUGGGCCUGUGACCCCGAUAAGAUGAGGAGGGCUGCCGGAUUGCUUUGGGCAAAGCCUCUUCGGUCUCAAGAAAAACACACACUCCCUUGUGUUCCAUUGCUGCUGUGGCAAGAUCUGACCCAGAGAACUGCUUUAGUGACCAAGCUAAAAUCGAAGCCAAUAACAAGGAAUGGUAGAGAAACUGUUCACCAGACACCUGUGGAAGAUAGCAAGACCGAUUUUAUUGGAGCUACUGCAGUAGAGGAGAGAGAUUUUAUAUAAAACUGAGCUCUGCUCCAAAUAUAGCAAAGACAACUGGGAAUUUAGAGCUGAUGAGCGGGUGGGGGUGGAGAUCAGUGGCUAGAAAACUAUUAAGAGGAGCCUGAUUAGACAUCUUGCAUGAGGGAUUCUUGCUAAACUGACUUAGCAGGAUUCUUUGCUACCAUUGGGGUCAGCAGGCCAAGGGCAGGGUAGCUGGCCAAGGUUGAGCCCCAGUGGAGAAGAGAGCUCAAGGGGGGCCUGCCUAAGGUUUGGUCCAGGAAAGAGUCUUCAUUGGAGGAUGGUGGUGGGGAGAGAUCUUUCCAUGUGAGACCCAUCCCUGAGAGACUGUGAUUCCAACAUACAAUUUUUGUCUGGCCUUCUUGUCAUGAGAUUAUAAAUUCCCUUAUGAUUCUAAAUCAGUUUGAGUCAUGUUUCUGUUGUUAUUAUUUUGGUUGUUGUUUUGUUUGUUACUUGUAGCCAGAAAAUCCUAACUGAUCAAACACAGCCUGCCACAGAGCAGGCUGUUAGAUAUAAUUUGGGUGAAUAAAGAAAGCAUCCACACACACAGCGUUGGUGUUUCAAGUGAAUUUGCUAAAGAGGAUUCUAUUCAAAAUUUUUAAAGAUUUAUUUAUUUAUUUGAGAGAGAGAGAGAGAGAGAGAGUAGGGGAGGGACAGAGGGAAAGAGAGAAUCUCAAAAAGACUCCCCACUGAGCACAGAGCCUGAGGCAAGGCUCAGUCUCAGGACCCUGAGAUCAUGACCUGAGCCAAAACCAAGAGUUAAACACUCAACCAACUGAGCCACUCGGGCACCCUUGACUCCUGCUAAAGAGGAUUUUUAAAACUCUGUAUGGUUAUUCUUUUUUAAAAUGUCAAUGGCUUUUAUUUUAUUUUUAUUAGACCUCUCCUAUACUAAAUUUUUACCAAUAUAUAUGCAUAGUAGGUAAAGUGCUAGUAUGUUUUACUUGAAUUGUUUUACAAUUACAAAGUAUUUGCCAAUAACAUUGUCUAGUUGGACCUGCCUUAUCCCAUGAAGUAUACAGCAGGAGUCUUCACUCCCUCUUGGGAGAUUUAUUAAGUGCCUGCUGUAUCCCAGGCACGGUGCUGGAUGUUGGGUGUGCCCCACCCCAUGGAGCCUGCUCUAGAGCAAACAAACCAGGUUCUCAUAAUCGGAAGUGGGAAGCGGGAUAACUUUGUGGGGUGUGAUGUUUGGUUAAGACACAGGCAUGGUUACUCUACAAAUAUAGUGAGGAUUCCAGGCACAGGAAAUAACUCUUCAGUAAAGAAAAACAAUUUGGGGUAUUCCAGGAACUGAAGAAAUGCCACAGGAGUGAGUGAGAGAGAAAGAAAUACUAAGUCAAGAUGAGGGUGGGGAGGUGGGUGAGGCCAGUAAGCCAUGCAGAGACUUAAAGACCAUAAAAAAUUUAGAGGAAAGAGAUUGGUUGUGGGGUUCGGGGACUGUAGCAAAUGCAGAAAGACCUGUUCAGGGUUGGCAUCCAACCCCAUGAAAGAUGAGCAGCCAGGCUGAGAAGGAAUGGAGGAGAUAAACUGGAGUCAUUCAGGGCACUGAUCUGACUGGGUUUGCUGGAAACUGGGUGUGAACAUUGAGAGAAAGAGGAGAUGGGGGGAUACAUGCCUGGGUUUUUGGUCUCCAGUAACUGGAUGAACAGGGGCCCUGCCUGUGGACAGGGUGUCAGAUGCAUGUUGUGGGGGGUGGAAAUCAAAGCGUUUCCUUUCAGACACAUGGCGUUUGAGAUGCCUGUGAUUCCUGUUGGAUAUUCAAAUUUGAUAGUGGGAGGAAAAUCUAGGCCGGAGAUGAACAUUUGGAGUUCCCAGCAUGUGGACUGAAUUUCGGGGUGGAGGGUGGUGGGGGCAGGGGGAUUGAGGA
rnacentral:lncRNA from 1 species